GAUGAAGAACGCAGUGAAAUGCGAUAAGUAAUGUGAAUUGCAGAAUUCAGUGAAUCAUCGAAUCUUUGAACGCACAUUGCGCCCCCUGGUAUUCCGGGGGGCAUGCCUGUUCGAGCGUCAUUUCACCACUCAAGUCUCGCUUGGUAUUGGGCAACGCGGUCCGCCGCGUGCCUCAAAUCGACCGGCUGGGUCUUCUGUCCCCUAAGCGUUGUGGAAACUUUCGCUAAAGGGUGUUCGGGAGGCUACGCCGUAAAACAACCCCAUUUCUAAGGUUGACCUCGGAUCAGGUAGGGAUACCCGCUGAACUUAAGCAUAUCAAUAAGCGGAGGA
rnacentral:misc_RNA from 1 species